rnacentral:rRNA from 1 species
CCUACGGGAGGCAGCAGUGAGGAAUAUUGGUCAAUGUGCGCGAGCCUGAACCAGCCAAGUAGCGUGAAGGAUGACUGCCCUACGGGUUGUAAACUUCUUUUAUAAAGGAAUAAAGUGAGGCACGUGUGCCUUUUUGUAUGUACUUUAUGAAUAAGGAUCGGCUAACUCCGUGCAAGCAGCCGCGGUAAUACGGAGGAUCCGAGAGUUAUCAGGAUUUAUUGGGAUUAAAGGGAGAGUAGAUGGGUUGUUAAGUCAGUUGUGAAAGUUUGCGGCUAAACCGUAAAAUUGCAAUUGAUACUGGCAGUCUUGAGUACAGUUGAGGUAGGCGGAAUUCGUGGUGUAGCGGUUAAAUGCUUAGAGAUCACGAAGAACUCCGAUUGCGAAGGUAGCUUACUAAACUGCCACUGACAUUGAUGCUCGAAAGUGUGGGUAUCAAACAGGAUUAGAUACCCGGGUAGUC